rnacentral:tRNA from 1 species
GUUCGGGUGGCGGAACUGGCAGACGCGUUAGCCUUAGGAGCUAAUGGGGAAACCCGUGGGAGUUCGACUCUCCCCCCGAACA